rnacentral:rRNA from 1 species
AGAGUUUGAUCAUGGCUCAGGACGAACGCUGGCGGCGUGCUUAACACAUGCAAGUCGAACGGGGUGUUUAUUUCGGUAAACACCAAGUGGCGAACGGGUGAGUAACGCGUAAGCAAUCUACCUUCAAGAUGGGGACAACACUUCGAAAGGGGUGCUAAUACCGAAUGAAUGUAAGAGUAUCGCAUGAGACACUUACUAAAGGAGGCCUCUGAAUAUGCUUCCGCUUGAAGAUGAGCUUGCGUCUGAUUAGCUAGUUGGUGAGGGUAAAGGCCCACCAAGGCGACGAUCAGUAGCCGGUCUGAGAGGAUGAACGGCCACAUUGGGACUGAGACACGGCCCAAACUCCUACGGGAGGCAGCAGUAGGGAAUCUUCCACAAUGGACGCAAGUCUGAUGGAGCAACGCCGCGUGAGUGAAGAAGGUUUUCGGAUCGUAAAGCUCUGUUGUUGGUGAAGAAGGAUAGAGGUAGUAACUGGCCUUUAUUUGACGGUAAUCAACCAGAAAGUCACGGCUAACUACGUGCCAGCAGCCGCGGUAAUACGUAGGUGGCAAGCGUUGUCCGGAUUUAUUGGGCGUAAAGCGAGCGCAGGCGGAAAAAUAAGUCUGAUGUGAAAGCCCUCGGCUUAACCGAGGAACUGCAUCGGAAACUGUUUUUCUUGAGUGCAGAAGAGGAGAGUGGAACUCCAUGUGUAGCGGUGGAAUGCGUAGAUAUAUGGAAGAACACCAGUGGCGAAGGCGGCUCUCUGGUCUGCAACUGACGCUGAGGCUCGAAAGCAUGGGUAGCGAACAGGAUUAGAUACCCUGGUAGUCC